AUUACAGGAUCUUGUAAAAAGAUGACAAAGUAAGCAAAAAAAAAUGGGAAAUUUUUGAAAAAAGAAACACAAGAACGAGGUGGAAUGCAAGGCCGGAAGGUUUUAACCGUUAAUGUGUUCGACUUUGAAUCUUUUGCUUGGAGGAGAAUAACGUAGCUUGUUGAACGGAACGGCGGUGAAAGUUUGCUAAGCCAAGUCCAAGUAACAGAGAUGAUCCAGCGGGUGGGGGUAAAAGGGCGCGCGUUUUCUCCCGCGGGAAGCGGUGACUCGAAUUCCCGCUGCGUGUCCCCCAAAAAUUGGCGGCAUUGAACUCGUGUCAGUCUGGCCGUAAGGCAGGGAACGGCCUCACGGCGUCAGAUGAACGUUAAUACCGGUGGGCACGUUUCCCGGCGAUCCACGGCAGUCGAAAGGGCUGGCACAAUUCGUCGUCGGAGGUUUUCAAUCAUCUCUGUCCCUCUCUCGUUUUAACUUGGUGUCAGUUAUUUCGCGACUACGGCGAAAUGGAGAAAGACUCCGAAACUUAUCUUGAAUAGUGCUCAUUCAGCCUCUUCGGUGGCGACUUCUCCUUCGCCUUUCUCGGUUUCCUGCUUCCUCAAUUUCAAUCCGAAAUCUGGUAAUCUUGGGUGAAAUGGCUGUUCGAACCGGAGAGAUCUGUUCAGAAGCGGAGUUGCGGCCCUGUUUCCGAUGUUUUCUGUUGUAGAGCCGAGGCAAGCUUCAAUUAGUAAAGUAACAUUCCGUAGGGCGGAUGGUGACAGCAUGCUUAUUAAGGGAGCAAUUCUGUCUUGAGCAACAGUAUCAACUUUUCUUGGGAUCUCCAAAGUGGGCUCGUGGAUUAUCCUGAGGUCAGUUCACGCACUUCUUUGAGAUGCUUUCUUAUGGAUGGAAAGGUAACUUUAUUGAUGUUUUGUAGCUUUAGUAGAGCUGUCCUCUUCCUUUUCUUGCUUUUCAUUACAAUAGUUGUUAAAGUCUUAGCUUUUAGAAAGUAAAGCUGAAAUUAUUCACCUCGUUUUGUCCUCAAUAUUCUAAGGGGUAAUAGUAGGAUAAAGUCAUACAAAGUCAAAUCUUUGAGUGUAGAAAGAAUAUGUGUGGCCCAUGUUUCACAAAUGAUAAUACUUCUGUUACUGUUGUCAAUUUCAGUUCCUGAGGCUUAAUUUCGAUUUCUCCAAUCUGUUUUCUUCCUUCAAUCUAGGCUGUGAAAUCAUGCCGUGAUUUUGAACUCAAAGGCGUGGAACUUGAAAGAAUCCAAAAUGUGUGCAUGCAUGUGUGUCCAUAUCUCAGCAGUUUGGGCUAGCUUGUGUGCAUACUGUAGUUAGGAACUUAGGACGAGACCAGCUGAACAAGCUGAGAUUGGGUUGUUUAGGUAAGAUUGGAAAUCAUGCAGUAUUUGUGAAUUCAAAACCACGACACUUGAAUAAAAUCCAAACUACAUAAGAAAGAUCAGCAGCUUAGACUAGGUUGUACGUGGUUUAGUUAGGACUUAGGACCUAAUACCAGCUGAACCAGCUGAGAUCAGAUUGUUGGGUAAGGCUUGUUAUGGUGAAAUCCUUGCUUGUAGUUGUUUCAUGAACUAGUCAAAACCUGAGUGGUGUCAAACUGAGCCCGGGCUCAUUAAGGAUGAAACCUUAGGAGCUGGCCACAAGCUGACUUUUUUCUUAAAAUGGGUUGCGUGUGUGUGUCUGAGAGUUGGUUUUUAGGUUUGCUAGGGGAUAAUGGGUCUGGCACCAUCCACUUAGAAAAGAAUCCUGCGGCUUUCUCUCUGUGUGUGUAUGAUUGGUGUUUUAAAGUUUGUCAGGGGAUAAUGGAUCAGAUGCCAUCCACUUUGAAAAAGCGGCUGUAGGCAACAUAUUCUUUUUUAUGUUUUUGCUACGGAUCUGAUAGAUAUCUGAAUCUAAUUAUAUGUCAAAAAUUGGAUUAAGUAUGCUGCAUCUGAGUCCAGCACCAAGUUGAAUUACGCGGUAUCUGAUUUAUGGGAUGCGCAGCCUGAUUUCUUUACUUUCUAGAUAUUUUUAAAUAUUUGGACCGCAGACCUGUAAAUGCAAUCGCAUGUAACACAAACACAAUAUCCUACUUAAAGCCAAGAAGAGCCCAACCAUGUACCAUUUUGUACAGCUUAUAUAUGAUGUACGAGCCGGAGCUGCACGUUCCAUAUUAUGAAUCCGACAGACGUUGGGACAUGCAAAUCUGCUUAUGCUCCAAGGCACCUCGUCCGUCUUUCCUUUAGAGCAUUUGCUUGCCGUUGAUCCGUUCUGAUAUGUGAUCUUAGGAUUUGAAAUCAAUGGAUCUAAGAUUAGGCCUUCUCCUUUGAUCUUCUAUCUUUUCUCAAUGCAAAAAUUAAAAUGAAAAUUUCAAGUGUGAAUAGUUUUGAUGAAUUAUGCAAAAGCAUGCCAUUGAGGUUUAUGUAUCUAAAAUCUCAAGCAACCAGAUAGGGAUGAAUUAAGCAAAAGCAUGCCAUUGAGGUUUAUGUAUCUAAAAUCUCAAGUAACCAGAUAGGCCUCGAGGAGUUUGAAAGAAAGAUCAGACCUGAGAUCUCUUGGAAGAACAGUAAAAUCCCGUGGCUUUACUUCUCGGUCCCUAAGUUGUAUGCUUAGUUUCCUUUUGCACAAUGAGUAAUGAUACCUACUAAAACUAAAUGGUUGCCUUCAUGGUAGCCAUGGCAGGACACUGCCCCAAGACGUAGUCGGGGAACCGUGAUCGGUCUCUGAGAAGGAAGAACUAGUCAGGUUAGCAAGGCAGGGAUGUCAUUUCAGUAGGCCCUUUGAUAAGAGGUGCACCAGCGGCAGUCUUAGGCCUGAUGUACACUUCCGCCAUGUGGAAUAUUGCUUUUCAGGUGGAAUCGUUCUCUUUUUCUCCAUCCGACUGAAAGAUUUUCAGAGCCUUUAUUUGAGUCUGUGUCUUGUUGGCCAUACUGCCAUGAGAUGUGCGAGUGAGAGAUUUUCAGAGCCUUUAUUUGAGUCUGUGUCUUGUUGGCCAUACUGCCAUGAGAUGUGCGAGUGAGAGAUUUUCAGAGCCUUUAUUUGAGUCUCUGUCUUGUUGGGCAUGCUGCCAUGAGAUGUGAUUAUGUGAACCUAGAGUGGCCUCUGAACAAAGUUUGCAGGACUUUGACACGUUCUCUGAUUAUGCUCUGGGGAAAUUUGCGUGCUAUAUAAUUGAAGGAAAAAGUUACAUUCUUGGAAUUUAUGUAUAGGCUGUAACUAGAAAUUUUACAUAUGUCAAGAUGGCAGGCUUUAAAUUAGACUUCCAGAUGACAGUUAUCCACAACAAUUUUGUCAAUGGUAGUAUUCGAGGGGAAUCCCUUUGCAAAAGAUACAGAAGAAGUACCCUGACCUGGCGCCAUCUAACCGGCCUGUAGCCCUGUACUGUUAUUUUGUGAUAGUUUUACUCUAAAAUACCAAGAUUAUAUGAUUAUUAUUUUACCUUUUUAUUGAAUAAGGGCCUGAUAAAGGUUGAGACUGUUGAUUCUGCCGACAUAGGUCAAGUAUUGGCUGAUGUCUGAAACCCUGUAUCAGCCGAUAUUUAGGAUCCAUAGACACGCAUCGGCCGAUAAAGACAGAUUCACAUGUAUAAUGUAAAUAUUGGCCAACGAAGGCGAGUUUCGUAUCACAAAAAUAAAAAGAAAAUACAUAAACGUAUCUUUUUGUAUAUGACGAAUACAUUGGUUUCCUAUAUGAAUAAAAAGAUCCAUCCAUCUUGCCCUCUGAUAUGUUUUCAUUCAAUUCUCCUUCUUUAUAAUUUUAUUAUAAAUUCUCUGCUAUUUUUUUCUAGCUAUUCGAAGAACUAGACUAGACGGACAGGAGUGUAGAAUAGAUUCCAAAUCUGUAGUAGUUUGCACUAAAAAUGUUACUGUGCCCAUGAAUAUGUCAAGAAACCAAAUAUCAUCAUAUCUCAGAUGCGCUGAACCUUUUAGAGAGAAAUUUAUGAAUUAUGAUUUCAAACCAAUAGGUAAAUGCUUGUUUAGUUAGACAGUAAAUAUCUAUUGGUGUCUGAGUUUCAAAAGGAUGAAGUAGAGAAAAAUGGUUGUCAUUAAGGGCGAAUCUCGUUGCCAGGCUUUCAAGGGAGAUCCCUGUUAGCUUGUCAGCCAGCACACUGGAAGAAAAAAAUUUCCUGUUUCUUUUUCCCUAAAAGGGCAUGGUCUUUGGGUUGGCUAAUAGGAGGACCGCACAGGAGGAGGAAGAGAGAGACGAAGGAAAUGCUUGUGCUGGUGCAGAGGCUGCAGACUGCAUUAGCACAUGAUUCAAAGCGCAGGAUGUAGGGAUGGAUAAUAUACUUUGAGCACGGUUUUGUUUGGCUGACCUUUGAGUGGGUUCAGCAAGCUCAGCAAAGCCGCGGGCAGUUGUUGGAGAUGUAACUCUUUGGCUCGUUUGGGUUGUUAAGGGGUUGAUGUUGGUAGGCGGACACCCUCCAAAGGAAGGUUCAAUCUUGAUUCGGGCCUGGCCUGAUCACUGUCGGGCUUGAGCUGGACCUGAGCCACUUAGUUUUCACCGGCUUAGACUUGCCUCUGGCGAUUCGGUUGCUAAGUCUAGGAGGUGAUGAAGUCACCUAGUAGGAGUCAUGCAUCGCCGCUGGCGGCCACAAGUGUUGUCCGUUGGUCUUUCAUUUUGACUGCCGUGUGUUGAUGAGACACCAAGUGGAAGCGUCUGUGUGUGGAAUGUUUUUUUAUCAACAUUCAAACCGGGUCUGGACCUACUGGGGCGCCAUCUCAACUUUCGCCACUGGGCCGCACCAUCGGGUCCGGCCCCGGCCCGAAAGCCCGGGUUCACCGGGUCCAUUUAAAAUUAAAAAAUAUUUUUUUAAUUAUAAAAUAUAUUUAUUAAUAUUAAAUAUAUAUUAUUAAAACAAAAAAAUUUAAAAAAUAUAUUUUUUAAUUUAAACGAGCUAAACUAUUCAGGUGGGCUUAUCGGGCCGCCCAGACUCCGGAUACGUCAUUUGUA